CCUACGGGGGGCUGCAGUGGGGAAUAUUGGACAAUGGGCGAAAGCCUGAUCCAGCCAUGCCGCGUGUGUGAAGAAGGCCUUCGGGUUGUAAAGCACUUUCAGUGGGGAAGAAAGCCUUGGGGCUAAUACCCUCGAGGAAGGACAUCACCCACAGAAGAAGCACCGGCUAACUCCGUGCCAGCAGCCGCGGUAAUACGGAGGGUGCGAGCGUUAAUCGGAAUUACUGGGCGUAAAGCGCGCGUAGGCGGUCUGAUAAGCCGGUUGUGAAAGCCCCGGGCUCAACCUGGGAACGGCAUCCGGAACUGUCAGGCUAGAGUGCAGGAGAGGAAGGUAGAAUUCCCGGUGUAGCGGUGAAAUGCGUAGAGAUCGGGAGGAAUACCAGUGGCGAAGGCGGCCUUCUGGACUGACACUGACGCUGAGGUGCGAAAGCGUGGGUAGCAAACAGGAUUAGAUACCCUUUAUC
rnacentral:rRNA from 1 species